rnacentral:misc_RNA from 1 species
GAUGAAGAACGCAGCGAAAUGCGAUAAGUAAUGUGAAUUGCAGAAUUCAGUGAAUCAUCGAAUCUUUGAACGCACAUUGCGCCCUCUGGUAUUCCGGGGGGCAUGCCUGUUCGAGCGUCAUUAUAACCACUCAAGCUCUCGCUUGGUAUUGGGGUUCGCGGUUCCGCGGCCCCUAAAAUCAGUGGCGGUGCCUGUCGGCUCUACGCGUAGUAAUACUCCUCGCGAUUGAGUCCGGUAGGUCUACUUGCCAGCAACCCCCAAUUUUUACAGGUUGACCUCGGAGCAGGUAGGGAUACCCGCUGAACUUAAGCAUAUCAAUAAGCGGAGGA